rnacentral:rRNA from 1 species
GACGAACGCUGGCGGCGUGCUUAACACAUGCAAGUCGAACGGAAAGGCCCUGCUUUUGUGUGGUUCUCGAGUGGCGAACGCGUGCGUAACACGUGUGUAACCUGCCCUUGACUUUUGGCUAACUUCAGGUAACUGGGGCUAAUACCGGAUAGGAGCCCCUGCUGCAUGGUGGGGGUUGGAUAGUUUCGGCUGUUGGGGAUGGACUCGCGGCUUAUCAGCUUGUUGGUGGGGGAGUGGCUUACCAAGGCUUUGACGGGUAGCCGGCCUGAGAGGGUGACCGGCCACAUUGGGACGGAGAUACGGCCCAGACGCCGACGGGAGGCAGCAGGGGGGAAUAUUGCACAAUGAGCGGAAGCCUGAUGCAGCAACGCCGGGUGCGGGAUGACGGCCUUCGGGUUGUAAACCGCUGUCGGCUGUGACGAAGCGUGAGUGACGGUAAUGGGUAAAGAAGCACCGGCUAACUACGUG